GAAGAAAUUCUGGGUAAAAAUGGAGUCUUUAUUCGAAACCCAGAACGAAAAAUCCACAAGGAUCAAAACAAAACACUUGAAAUGCGACUUAUAUAGGCUUCAACAACUGAAAAGAAGAAAAACCCAAAUAGGUACCAGCAAAAAAAGGGGUGAAAAAUGGUGAAUCCCAAUUUUGGGGGCAAAAAAUGGAGUCUUAUCUGAAACCCAGAACAAACAAUCAACUUACAACGACAAAGAAACACUUGAAAUGAGACUUAUAUAAGAUAAAAGGACUGAAAAUAAGAGAAACCCAGAAAGGAUAUCAACAAAAAUAAGGGAGAAACAAUGGUGAACCCCAAUUUUGGUCGAAAAUUUCUGCAAAAAAAAAUGGAGUCUUUAUAUGAAACCCAGAAAAAAGAAACUUGAAAUGCAAAUUCUUCAGUCUUCAAGAACUGAAAACAAGAGAAACCCAGAAAGGAAAUCAACAAAACAAUGGAGAAAAAACGGUGAAUUCUCCAAUUUUGGUUGAUAAUUUCUGCAAAAUAAAAAAAGCAGUCUUUACUUGAAACCCAAAAAAAAAGAAACUUGAAAUGAGAUUAGCUUCAAGAACUGAAAAUAAGAAAACCCAGAAAGUAAAUCAGCAAAAAAAAAAGGGAGAAAAAUAGUGAAUUCUCCAAAUUUUGGAGUGAAAAUUAUUGAUUUGUAUGUUUAAUACAAAGUGCAAAAACCGUUACUUUAAAUGAUAUGAAAGGCCACUUCCAAACUCCUAUUUUAAUCGUGCGUCUGGAGUCAUAC
rnacentral:lncRNA from 1 species